UUAAUGAUUGACCUUGGUAUGGACACUACCGAGUGAUAACUUUCAAAUUCAGAGAAACCCGGGAAUUAAAAAUGGGCAAUCCUGAGCCAAAUCCGUGUUUAUGAAAGGUUCGGAAAGUGGUAAAAAAAAAUAAAGGAUAGGUGCAGAGACUCAAUGGAAGUUGUUCUAACAAAUGGAGUUGGCUACUUUGCGUUAGUAGUUAGUAAAGGAAUCCUUCCAUUGAAACUCCAGAAAGGAUGAAGAAUAAAUGUAUAUAGGUACGGAAAUACUAUCUCCAAAUAAUUAAUUACAACCCGAAUUCGUAUUUCUUUUAAUUUUCAUGAAAAUUAAAAGAAUUCUUGUGAAUAAAUUCUAAGUUGAAAAAAGAUAUCAAAUCACUUCUUCCAUCAAAAUCUGAUAGAUUUUUUGAAGAAGUGAUUAAUCGUACGAGAAUAAAGAUAGAGUCCCAUUCUACAUGUCAAUAUCGACAACAAUGAAAUUUAUAGUAAGAGGAAAAUCCGUCGACUUUAAAAAUCGUGAGGGUUCAAGUCCCUCUAUCCCCA
rnacentral:ncRNA from 1 species